rnacentral:rRNA from 1 species
GAUGAACGCUGGCGGCGUGCCUAAUACAUGCAAGUCGAGCGAACAGACGAGGAGCUUGCUCCUCUGACGUUAGCGGCGGACGGGUGAGUAACACGUGGAUAACCUACCUAUAAGACUGGGAUAACUUCGGGAAACCGGAGCUAAUACCGGAUAAUAUAUUGAACCGCAUGGUUCAAUAGUGAAAGACGGUUUUGCUGUCACUUAUAGAUGGAUCCGCGCCGCAUUAGCUAGUUGGUAAGGUAACGGCUUACCAAGGCAACGAUGCGUAGCCGAGCUGAGAGGGUGAUCGGCCACACUGGAACUGAGACACGGUCCAGACUCCUACGGGAGGCAGCAGUAGGGAAUCUUCCGCAAUGGGCGAAAGCCUGACGCAGCAACGCCGCGUGAGUGAUGAAGGUCUUCGGAUCGUAAAACUCUUUUAUUAGGGAAGAACAAAUGUGUAAGUAACUAUGCACGUCUUGACGGUACCUAAUCAGAAAGCCACGGCUAACUACGUG